CAAGGAGUCCAUGCAAAUUGUAAAUACCCAGAAGUGAAGUUCCUGGAUCAUAUGGAUGAUGGCAACCCCCAUCUCAUCAGCCCAGUCUCCUCUUAGGAACUCAUCUCGUAUCAAGGCAGGGAUGGCUGGCUCAGCGAGGUCCUGGCUCUUAUGCAUGAGAGGCUGGACCAAGGUGGAGAGCCAACCCCUCUCAGAAAGGAGCCUCCCGUCACCUUUGAA